GUUGUGAACUGCCCAUCUGAGGGAUCUAGGUUGUGUGCUUCGUAUGAGAAUCUAAUGCCUGAUGAUCUGUCACUGUCUCACUUUGCCCCCAGAUGAGACCAUCCAGUUGCAGAAAAAUAAGUUCAGAGCUUCCACGGAUUCUACAUUAUGGAUAUGUGCCGCCGAAGCAAGCACAAAGCCCUACUUUUACACAUGAUUAGUGAUGCGUCAUGGACAAGGCUUGGCUCUGUGAAGUCCAACUAACCUACUUGAGAUUCUGAGAAUUCUCUUCAAUGGCUUCCUGUGAGCUAGAGUUUGAAAAUAUCUUAAAAUCUUGAGCUAGAGAUGGAAGUAGCUCCGACAAUUUUCAUUAUCAUGUAAAUCAGAUCACUCAAGGGGCCAACCACAGCUGGGAGCCACUGCUCAGGGCAAGGUUCAUAUGGGACUUUCUACUGGGUUCUAUACAGGAUAUAAAGGUGCCUCACAGUACAGAUCUGGUAGCAAAGAGGAAACAAACACUGACCUCUUUCUGCCACAUUAUUUGAACCCCUCUCACCCUUUAGAACAAGCCCACCUAACAUCUGCCAGAGAAAAGACCAACAACAGCCUCAAAGGAUCUCUUACCAUGAAGGUCUCAGCUAAUUCCUGGCUAAGAUGUGGGUUCCACAUUAGGUUCUGAAUAUGUGGGGAAGGGUCAAUUUGGUCACUUUGUGUGCGGAUAAAGUCAAGAUGCCCAGCGGCCAGAGCAGGGGGCUGGUGCUCUGGGAACAAUGGCUGAGCAUAUAAGCAUAGGUAUGGGAA
rnacentral:lncRNA from 1 species